rnacentral:rRNA from 1 species
GGGGAAUUUUGGACAAUGGGCGUAAGCCUGAUCCAGCCAUGCCGCGUGCAGGAUGAAGGCCUUCGGGUUGUAAACUGCUUUUGUAUGGAAUGAAAAAGCUCUCUCUAAUACAGGGGGUGAAUGACGGUACCGUAAGAAUAAGCACCGGCUAACUACGUGCCAGCAGCCGCGGUAAUACGUAGGGUGCAAGCGUUAAUCGGAAUUACUGGGCGUAAAGCGUGCGCAGGCGGUUAUGUAAGACAGAGGUGAAAUCCCCGGGCUCAACCUGGGAACUGCCUUUGUGACUGCAUAGCUGGAGUGCGGCAGAGGGGGAUGGAAUUCUGCGUGUAGCAGUGAAAUGCGUAGAUAUGCGGAGGAAUACCGAUGGCGAAGGCAAUCCCCUGGGCCUGCACUGACGCUCAUGCACGAAAGCGUGGGGAGCAAAC